GAACAGUCAAUCCUACUUGGAUAACUGUGGUAAUCCUAGAGCUAAUACAUGCACCCAAGCCCCGACUCGGGGGGCAACUCUCGAGAAAGGGCGCUUUUAUUAGAUCAAAACCAGUCGAGAGCUUCGGCUCUCGUUAAGUUUGGUGACUCUGGAUAACUUCACGCUGAUCGCACGGUCUUCGCACCGGCGACGAUUCUUUCAAAUGUCUGCCUUAUCAACUGUCGAUGGUAGGUUAUGCGCCUACCAUGGUUGCAACGGGUAACGGGGAAUCGGGGUUCGAUUCCGGAGAGGGAGCCUGAGAAACGGCUACCACAUCCAAGGAAGGCAGCAGGCGCGCAAAUUACCCACUCCCGGCACGGGGAGGUAGUGACGAAAAAUAACGAUACGGGACUCUUCCGAGGCCCCGUGAUUGGAAUGAGUACACUUUAAAUCCUUUAACGAGGACCCAUUGGAGGGCAAGUCUGGUGCCAGCAGCCGCGGUAACUCCAGCUCCAAUAGCGUAUAUUAAAGUUGUUGCGGUUAAAAAGCUCGUAGUCGGAGUUCUGUCUUCGGCCGAGGGGGGAUUCUGCCUACACGGUAUGAGUCUCGUUCCCUUUGGGUGUGCGGUGUCAAAGCCGUGCACUCUUAACGGUCGGACAAGUCCGUCGGAGUGUGGUUAUUGUUGGAAGGGCAACCGACCAAUGAGGCCACCGUAAUCGUUCGGGGUGCCUUUAAUCGGGUGUCUCGGGCGGCCGACAUAGUUUACUUUGAACAAAUUAGAGUGCUCAAAGCAGGUGACUACCGCCUGAAUAGUACAGCAUGGAAUGAUGAAAGAGGACCUCGGUCUGAUUUUGCUGGUCUUUACGGUCGGGCUUCGGCCCGGCCUAUGCAGACCCGAGGUAAUGGUCAAUAGAGACGGACGGGGGCAUCCGUACUGCGGCGACAGAGGUGAAAUUCUUGGACCGCCGCAAGACGAACGACAGCGAAGGCAUUUGCCAAGAAUGUUUUCCUUGAUCAAGAACGAAAGUUAGAGGUUCGAAGGCGAUCAGAUACCGCCCUAGUUCUAACCAUAAACGAUGCCAACUAGCGAUCCGCCGGUGUUACUCCCAUGACUCGGCGGGCAGCUUCCGGGAAACCAAAGUCUUUGGGUUCCGGGGGAAGUAUGGUUGCAAAGCUGAAACUUAAAGGAAUUGACGGAAGGGCACCACCAGGAGUGGAGCCUGCGGCUUAAUUUGACCCAACACGGGAAACCUCACCAGGCCCGGACACUGGAAGGAUUGACAGAUUGAGAGCUCUUUCUUUAUUC
rnacentral:rRNA from 1 species